rnacentral:rRNA from 1 species
UGUGGUUAAAAAGCUCGUAGUUGGAUCUCAACAGCCUUGAAGCGGUUAACUUUGUAGUUUUACUGCUUUAUAGGCUGUGCUUUUGCUGGAGGUUUAGGGGUGCUCUUGAUCGAGUGUCUCUGGAUGCCAGCAGGUUUACUUUGAAAAAAUUAGAGUGCUCAAAGCAGGCUAAAAUGCCUGAAUAUUCGUGCAUGGAAUAAUAGAAUAGGAUGUCGAUCCUAUUUUGUUGGUUUUCGGGACUCGACAUAAUGAUAAAUAGGGACAGUCGGGGGCAUUUGUAUUCAAACGACAGAGGUGAAAUUCUUGGACCGUUUGAAGACAAACUACUGCGAAAGCAUUUGCCAAGAAUGUUUUCAUUAAUCAAGAACGAAAGUUAGAGGUUCGAAGGCGAUUAGAUACCGCCCUAGUUCUAACCAUAAACGAUGCCAGCUAGCGAUCUGCCUGCGUUUUUACUGUAGACUGGGCAGGAAGCUUCCGGGAAACCAAAGCAUUUGGGUUCCAGGGGAAGUAUGGUUGCAAAGCUGAAACUUAAAGGAAUUGACGGAAGGGCACCACCAGGAGUGGAGCCUGUGGGCUUAAUUUGACUCAACAC